AUGUAUGUCUUUGUAUUACCACAGGAAGUUCUGCAUCUCCUCCAAAAAUCUCCGUCUGAGAUCAGGCUAUCAAUCUGCAGAACUUCACAGGAUAAACAUACAGAUACUGAGACCUCUCUGGGUCAUGACACACUUCAAACCCGUGCACUGAGAUCUAGGUCUCUAGACCUGCAGAUAAGGUCUGUUGCCCCAGAUUUUAGUGAACUCCUCAAGAAGCGGGUGAUAGAGGUGGGUCUAAAGAAAGAAAUUUCCCCAGAGAAAACCCAGGAGAUUCCACUGGCCCAACAGAAACCAGAUACUGAGCUGCUGGAUACGAAUAUAUCAGCUCCUCCACCCCUACCUCCACAUCCAUCCUCAGCUGAAGCUGGAGAACCUAAACCUCAUGCCAGAAUGGGGGAGGGGCUUGAGAGCAAAGCCCCACCCCCAACACCAAGCACUGUUAAAGUGACAACAGCCAACCUUGCACCAACUCCAGCCGCCCCUGAAACAGCAAUUGCAACCCAUCAGCAAGAGUUAAAAAAUGAUACCAUCUCAACUAACCAUGUUUCAGCCUGUACCAGUCACACAACUGAAGGUGUGGAAGAGAGCAUGAUAAGUUUCACAGCUAAUGGACUGACCAUCAUAGCUGAUGAGGAAUACUUGACCAUCACCACCACAGCACCCUCGCCUCCAAGCUGCAGCAAUGCUGUCUCCAAUGAACCUCCACCACCACCACCGGCCCUUUCCCCAUCACUGUUAAGCACACCUCCAUCCUACCAGCAAGCAACUCAAGCGUCAUCACCAGUGAAACCUCCUGACCAGUUUACCCUCCCCUCAGCCAGAAACAACAACGGCUGGGAUGAUGAUGAUGAAGAGGAGGAUGACGAAGAUCCCCAAAGGGUAAAGUCUGAUUGCAUUUGCCUACAGAUGUACAAGCCAUUAGAUUAGCAUACGUUUCAGAGCUGGUUUAAGCUUCAAAACUUUGGAAUUCACUG
rnacentral:lncRNA from 1 species